rnacentral:rRNA from 1 species
UACGAAGGGGGCUAGCGUUGCUCGGAAUCACUGGGCGUAAAGGGUGCGUAGGCGGGUCUUUUAAGUCAGGGGUGAAAUCCUGGAGCUCAAUUCCAGAACUGCCUUUGAUACUGAAGAUCUUGAGUCCGGGAGAGGUGAGUGGAACUGCGAGUGUAGAGGUGAAAUUCGUAGAUAUUCGCAAGAACACCAGUGGCGAAGGCGGCUCACUGGCCCGAUACUGACGCUGAGGCACGAAAGCGUGGGGAGCAAACAGG